rnacentral:rRNA from 1 species
AGAGUUUGAUCCUGGCUCAGGAUGAACGCUGGCGGCGUGCCUAAUACAUGCAAGUCGAGCGAACAGAUAAGGAGCUUGCUCCUUUGAAGUUAGCGGCGGACGGGUGAGUAACACGUGGGUAACCUACCUAUAAGACUGGGAUAACUUCGGGAAACCGGAGCUAAUACCGGAUAACAUUUAGAACCGCAUGGUUCUAAAGUGAAAGAUGGUUUUGCUAUCACUUAUAGAUGGACCCGCGCCGUAUUAGCUAGUUGGUAAGGUAACGGCUUACCAAGGCGACGAUACGUAGCCGACCUGAGAGGGUGAUCGGCCACACUGGAACUGAGACACGGUCCAGACUCCUACGGGAGGCAGCAGUGGGGAAUAUUGCACAAUGGGGGGAACCCUGAUGCAGCGACGCCGCGUGAGUGAAGAAGUAUUUCGGUAUGUAAAGCUCUAUCAGCAGGGAAGAUAAUGACGGUACCUGACUAAGAAGCCCCGGCUAACUACGUG